ensembl:snRNA U6 U6 spliceosomal RNA
AUGCUCACUUCAGCAGCACAUAGACUAAAGCUGGAAAAAUACAGAGAAGAUUAGCACAGCCCCUGUGCGAGGAUGACAUGCAGACUUGUGAAGGAUCCCAUAUAUAA